CUGACACAGCGACAUAAAAAAAGAAAGAAAGACAUGGAAACUUCAGUUCCACAGGCCAGAACUACCCUGACUCCUCCCUCCCUAUCGGAUUAUUUCCCUCCACCUACAACUCAGAGAUGUCAAAGGGCCCAGAAUUUCUUCCCUCCACCUCCAGUGGAGCCCAUCGUGGUUGAGGAGCCCAUCUCUCCACCAGUUAAUCCCAUCGUGAUGGAACUGCCCAACUCUCCACCAGUGAAGCCCAUUGUGGUUGAGCUGCCCAUCUCUCCACCAGUGGAGCCCAUUGUGGUUGAGCUGCCCAUCUCUCCACCAGUGAAACCCAUCAUGGUUGAGCUGCCCAUCUCUCCACCAGUGAAGCCCAUCGUGGUCGACCAUCCCAUCUCUCCACUAGUGAAGCCCGUAAUGGUUGAGCUGCCAAUCUCUCCACCAGUGAAGCUCACAGUGGUUGAGCUGCCCAUCUUUCCACCAGUAAAGCCUGUUGUGGUUGAGCUGCCCAUCUCUCCACCAGUGAAACCCAUCGUGAUGGAGCUGCCCAUCUCUCCACCUGUGAAACCCAUCAUGGUUGAGCUGCCCAUCUCUCCACCAGUGAAACCCAUAAUGGUGUGGUUGCCCACCUCUCCACCAUUGAAACCAGUCGUGGUUGAACGGCCCAUCUCUCCACCAGUGAAACCCAUCAUGGUUGAGCUGCCCAUCUCUCCACCAGUGAAGCACGUCAUGUUUGAGCUGCCGAUUGCUCCAGUGGAAGCUGAGUCACUUCAGAGAUUUGAGGGUCUGACACAGCGACAUAAAAAAAGAAAGAAAGACAUGGAAACUUCAGUUCCACAGACCAGAACUACCCUGACUCCUCCCUCCCUAUCGGAUUAUUUCGCUCCACCUACAACUCAGAGAUGUCAAAGGGCCCAGGAUUUCUUCCCUCCACCUCCAGUGGAGCCCAUCGUGGUUGAGGAGCCCAACUCUACACAAGUGAAGCCCAUUGUGGUUGAGCUGCCCAUCUCUCCUCCAGUUGGGCCCAUUGUGGUUGAGGUGCCCAUCUCUCCACCAGUGAAACAAAUCAUGGUUGAUCUGCCCAUCUCUCCACCAGUGAAGCCCAUCGUGAUGGAGCUGCCCAACUCUACACCAGUGAAACCCAUCAAGGUUGAUCUGCCCAUCUCUCCACCAGUGAAACCCAUCAUGGUUGAGCUGCCCUUCUCUCCACCAGUGAAACACAUCAUGGUUGAGCUGCCCUUCUCUCCACCAGUGGAGCCCAUCGCUGUUGAGUUGCCCAUCUCUCCACCAGUGAAGCCUGUUGUGGUUGAGCUGCCCAUCUCUCCACCAGUGAAACCCAUCAUGGUUGAGCUGCCCAUCUCUCCACCAGUGAAGCACGUCAUGUUUGAGUUGUCGAUUGCUCCAGUGGAAACUGAGUCGCUUCAGAGUUUUGAGGGUCAGACACAGCGACAUAAAAAAAGAAAGAAAGACAUGGAAACUUCAGUUCCACAGACCAGAACUACCCUGACUCCUCCCUCCCUAUCGGAUUAUUUCGCUCCACCUACAACUCAGAGAUGUCAAAGGGCCCAGGAUUUCUUCCCUCCACCUCCAGUGGAGCCCAUCGUGGAUAAGGAGCCCAUCUCUCCACCAGUUAAUCCCAUCGUGAUGGAGCUGCCUAACUCUCCACCAGUGAAGCCCAUUGUGGUUGAGCUGCCCAUCUCUCCACCAGUGAAUCCCAUUUUUGUUGAGCUGCCCAUUUCGCCACCUGUGAAGCCCAUCAUGGUUGAGCUGCCCACCUCUCCACCAGUGAAACCCGUCGUGGUUGAACGGCCCAUGUCUCCACCAGUGAAGCCUAUCUUGGUCGACCAUCCCAUCUCUCCACCAGUGAACCAACAGGAUCAACCUGGUCAAGGGGCCAACUGGGAAAUAGAGGCUGGUUCUUCUCAGAUUGUCGAUGCUCCUGUCCAUCUCCUCUUCCCUGCUUCCUCUGAUCUCCCUCAGCAGAUCCCACAGGAGCAGCCUGGAGUCCUCACAGCAUUCCCUGGUCCUCUUACAAACGUUGGGACUCUUGAGGAGAUGAUUGAGGUUGCAUGGCAGAAGUGUCAGGAGUACCAAUCUAAGUUCUUCAUGUGGUACUUUGUUACCCUUUUGUGCACACAGAGUAGGGCACAGCCCAUCUUUCCUCCAGUGAAACCAAUCGUGGUCGAGCGUCCCAUCUCUCCACCAGUGAAACCCAUCGUGGUCGAGCGUCCCAUCUCUCCACCAGUGGAGCCCAUUGUGGUCGAGAGUCCUAUCUCUCCACCAGUGGAGCCCAUCGUGGUUGAACUCCCCAUCUUUCCACCAGUGAAGCAUGUUGUCGUUGAGCUGCCCAUCUCUCCACCAGUAAAUCCGAUCAUGGUUGAGCUCCCCAUCUUGCCACCAGUGAAACCCAUCAUGGUUGAGCUGCCGAUCGCUCCAGUCGAAGCUGAGUCGCUUCAGAGAUUUGAGGGUCUGACACAGCGACAUAAAAAAAGAAAGAAAGACAUGGAAACUUCAGUUCCACAGACCAGAACUACCCUGCCUCCUCCCUCCCUAUCGGAUUAUUUCGCUCCACCUACAACUCAGAGAUGUCAAAGGGCCCAGAAUUUCUUCCCUCCACCCCCAGUGGAGCCCAUCGUGGUUGAGGAGCCCAUCUCUCCACCAGUUAAUCCCAUCGUGAUGGAGCUGCCCAACUCUCCACCAGUGAAGCCCAUUGUGGUUGAGCUGCCCAUCUCUCCACCAGUGAAACCCAUCAUGGUUGAGCUGCCCAUCUCUCCACCAGUGAAACCCAUCAUGGUUGAGCUGCCCAUCUCUCCACCAGUGAAACCCAUCAUGGUUGAGCUGCCCAUCUCUCCACCAGUGAAGCUCACAGUGGUUGAGCUGCCCAUCUCUCCACCAGUGAAACCCAUCAUGGUUGAUCUGCACAUCUCUUCACCAGUGAAACCCAUAAUGGUUGAGCUCCCCAUCUCUCCACCUGUGAAACCCAUCAUGGUUGAGCUGCCAAUCUCUCCACCAGUGAAACCCAUCAUGGUUGAGCUGCCCAUCUCUCCACCAGUGAAACCCAUCAUGGUUGAGCUGCCCAUCUCUCCACCAGUGAAGCACGUCAUGGUUGAGCUCCCCAUCUCUCCACCAGUGAAACCCAUCAUGGUUGAGCUGCCCAUCUCUCCACCAGUGAAACCCAUCAUGGUUGAGCUGCCCAUCUCUCCACCAGUGAAACCCAUCAUGGUUGAGCUACCGAUCGCUCCAGUGGAAGCUGAGUCGCUUCAGAGAUUUGAGCCAAUGAAGGGUCAGACACAGCGACAUAAAAAAAGAAAGACAGACAUGGAAACUUCAGUUCCACAGACCAGAACUACCCUGACUCCUCCCUCCCUAUCGGAUUAUUUCGCUCCACCUACAACUCAGAGAUUUCAAAGGGCCCAGGAUUUCUUCCCUCCACCUCCAGUGGAGCCCAUCGUGGAUAAGGAGCCCAUCUCUCCAGCAGUGAAUCCCAUCCUGAUGGAGCUGCCCAACUCUCCACCAGUGAAGCCCAUUGUGGUUGAGCUGCCCAUCUCUCCACCAGUGAAUCCCAUUUUUGUUGAGCUGCCCAUUUCUCCACCUGUGAAGCCCAUCAUGGUUGAGCUGCCCACCUCUCCACCAGUGAAACCCGUCGUGGUUGAACGGCCCAUGUCUCCACCAGUGAAGCCUAUCUUGGUCGACCAUCCCAUCUCUCCACCAGUGAACCAACAGGAUCAACCUGGUCAAGGGGCCAACUGGGAAAUAGAGGCUGGUUCUUCUCAGAUUGUCGAUGCUCCUGUCCAUCUCCUCUUCCCUGCGUCCUCUGAUCUCCCUCAGCAGAUCCCACAGGAGCAGCCUGGAGUCCUCACAGCAUUCCCUGGUCCUCUUACAAACGUUGGGACUCUUGAGGAGAUGAUUGAGGUUGCAUGGCAGAAGUGUCAGGAGUACCAAUCUAAGUUCUUCAUGUGGUACUUUGUUACCCUUUUGUGCACGC
ensembl:lncRNA